UACGUAGGGGGCAAGCGUUGUCCGGAUUUAUUGGGCGUAAAGAGCGUGUAGGCGGCUUGGUAGGUCCGCUGUGAAAACUCGAGGCUCAACCUCGAGAUGUCGGCGGAAACCACUUGGCUAGAGUCCGGAAGAGGAGAGUGGAAUUCCUGGUGUAGCGGUGAAAUGCGCAGAUAUCAGGAAGAACACCUAUGGCGAAGGCGGUUCUCUGGGCAUUACCUGACGCUGAGGAGCGAAAGUGUGGGGAGCGAACAGG
rnacentral:rRNA from 1 species